rnacentral:lncRNA from 1 species
ACUCCAUCCAAGUAAGAAAUCAACAGUUCAAGUUCCAAGUUACUUGAAGUACAUUUAUACACGUGCUCACUGCUCAAUCAACGACCUCAUCGCCUACCCAUGCACGCACACGCAUGUAGAGAGGACGUCUACUUGAAGUAGUAUGGGAGGUCGAGCACGUAGAGGAGGAAGUAGGCCCAGACCACGCCGGAGAUGCCGCCGAAGAAGAAGCCUCCGGUGAACUUGGCCCAGCCGUCGGCGGUCUGCAGCUUGUCGGCCUCCUUCUUGCGGCCGGUGAGCGUGAGCGUGGGCGCCGUGGACGGGUCGCCCUCGUUGAAGGAGGCGACGCCGUACAUGGUGAGGCAGACGCUGAGGAUGGUGACGAGCCCGGCGGCGCCCAGGGCGCCCGCCUGGCCGUGCACGGGCGUGUUGCGGAGCGGGCCGGUGAGGGCGAAGGGGCCCACGAGGAGGUAGCCGUGCGCAAGCCCGACCUCGAUGCCGCGGAGCAGCGGGCUCACGGCGGUGCGGUAGGCCGGGAGGUUGGAGAGGUACCAGGCGAUGAGCGGGCUGGAGGUGAUGGGCGUCUCCAGGCUGCCGAUGAAGGGGUCGCCGUUGAUGGGCUGCACCACCUG